AUGUAGAAAAUGUGUGAAAAUCCAUCUCAAAAAGCCUUGAAAUAAUGAGAAUAUAUUACUUGAUAUGAAUUUAUAGGUCAUUUACUUAGGUUUCUACAUCAAUUUAUUGAUCCUUAGACUCUAAGUUUGAGAAAAAGUUUAAGACGGGUUAUUUAGAUGACACUUAUCUUCCUCUUGUUUUAUUCAUCUUAUAUGGAAAUACAUUACUUUUGCCUGUCACUUUUGUUAAUUAGCUUUAUCAAUAGGCAUAAACUGUAUAGCAAGCUGAAAUAACUGGAUCUUAUGUGGUAUCUUUUAGCUACAUCAUUUAAGGCAGUUGAUAUUUCUAUAAACAACAUUUUUAUGCACUUUCAUGUUUGUGGUUAACCUGUUAAAGCUAUUCUUCCCUUUUGUAUUUCUCUAUGUCAUUAUGAGGCAGUGUCUAAAGAAAAGAUACAUUUGACUGAUAAAUCCAAGGUUAUCCAACAUUAAGAAAAAAACAUAUAUAUACCCCAAAGGUUCAAUCUAAUGAUAUCAGGAUCUAGGAAUGAGGAGGCCUGGUCCCAUAAACCCCUUGAAAACAAUACAUUUGAUGAGGAACUUUUAAUAACUCUCAUCCUUAGCAAUCAUUUGUAUGAAGAGUUCAGUGAGUCAUAGCUGACCAGGGAAAUAUCUCACAACAAUGCAGUCUGAUAGCCAAGCACCCUGCUUUCAUUCCUUGUAAAGUAAAAAACACUUGUCUAAACACUCUCAAUGUAACACCAUUAUUCUCUUUUUUUCUUUUUGAAUGGUAAAUGACAGUAUCAAAAAAUCAUGGAAUUAAAAUAGCAGCUCCUUUCUUUUUCGUGCAUUUUUAUCUAAAUGAAAUCUGCCAUACUUCAGGGCCUAUGUUCAGUGUGAUACUUUUGUGGAGGCUCAGUCUAUAGCCAAAACUGUGUGUGUUGAUACUAAGAUUCUGAAAACCUUCAUUUUUUUAUCUUUCAAUUCUAUUCAUUAUACUGAGACAUUUAUUUUCCAGAAGCAAAAAGGAUGGAUGUUAAAGUUUUUUUUCUGAUUUGUACUUUUGAUUCACGAUCUGAUUUUUCAUAAAGAAGCCUCGACAGGGUUUGUUUUCCUAUUGAAGAUCUCACAUUCAAGUCUUCACUGUCAAGAGCAAGCAGGGGAUAGAAUGUACCAAGUAACUUAGCAACCAUCCAAAUUCCAUCCACAUUCCAGGCCUGUGCUCCAGUUCUAUGGGAAACACCAUUCAAUCCAGAAAUAGACAAGAAAGAGGGUUGAAACCUUCAUGACAAUGCUAGAGAAUUAACAGUGAGAGAUGCAUUAAGCAACAACACAGUUUUGCCUUUUACAAGCUCCCUGAGGUUUUUAUUUCAGUCAGAGGACCAAGAUUUCAGUUCAAGUCACUGGAAGAAAAGAGCUGUCAUUUAUGCUCUCUACUUACAGGUAAAUUGUCUUGUGAUUAUUUCCACAGAACUCUGACUUGGAUAAGACUUGUAUCCAUUUUAUUACGAUGUUCUUCUUUUUUACAAUUUAGUUCCCCAGAGGGCAAGACCAAGGUCAGUUUAAUCUGAAGUCUUUCGUACUUGAUAAAAAUGUCACUGUAAUGAAAACUUGACCGCAAUUAUAAAGAUGACAUCAUUAUGAUGAUGAUUAUGAUAAUAAUGAUGACGAUGAUGAUGACUUUGCCAUUGCUUUGCAGAAAAGGCUACCUAAGAUCGGAACCCUCUGAUAAUUUGUGCUGCUAUUUUAAGAUCCAGUUCCAUUCUACAACUGGCUGAAGCAUGAAGUCAACUAAAAUAAACUGAAUUGAGUGGAACUGAACUGAACUGAAGUGAAAUAAUGUGAUUUCCAGUAAACCUGACACCUUAAGGACAGAACAUGAGCCUUGCCCAUCUUCCUCCCAGAGGUCCCAGCACAAUCACCGACUCACACAAUACUCUCAGUGCAUGAGUGAUGAAUUUCACUAACAGCGACCCAUCUCUCUACAUAAUCCACUCCGGUUUCACCAGAGCUGAGAGUAUCAUGAAUUACAUCUAUAGAUAGCUGUAAGCUAAUGACCAAAGCACAUAACUGAAUUCAAACAUAUUCUUUAUUGCAGUCAGAUGUGAGAAAACAAAAUUUAGAAGACAAGCCAGAAAGGAAAUGAAGAACAUAAAGAGCCUGAAUUCUCAUCGUCAAUUUUUCCCUGACUGACUCCGUUUUCCUCUCUUCUUUCCAUUUACCUUUCUGUUCCCAUCCCCAUCAUUUUUGUAGUGUUUAUUGAGUGUCUGCUGCAUGCCAGUCAAUGUGCUGAGUACUUUUCAUGUGUUAUACCAUUUGAUCGUCACAGCAGCACACUAUUAUAAUUAUGAAUAUGAUUCCACAUACUAUAUCUAAAAUUUAACUUAAUUUUACAUAGGAGGAAGCUGAGACUUGCCCAAGACUACUCCAUUAGUAAGAUGUGAACCAAGUGAACCAUGUCUGACUCAAACCUAACCCCUGAUUCUCUGAAUCCAUAUCACCGUAGAACUCAACAGUGAAAUAUUGGGGUAGAGGUAAUGCUAUUAGUACACAAACUAUGCACAGAUUUACAAGCAACUAAACAGGAACUCAUGGCCAGGCACAAUGGUUCAUGCCUGUAAUUCCAGCACUUUGGGAGG
rnacentral:lncRNA from 1 species